rnacentral:rRNA from 1 species
GACGAACGCUGGCGGCGUGCUUAACACAUGCAAGUCGAACGGAAAGGCCCUGCUUUUGUGGGGUGCUCGAGUGGCGAACGGGUGAGUAACACGUGAGUAACCUGCCCUUGACUUUGGGAUAACUUCAGGAAACUGGGGCUAAUACCGGAUAGGAGCUCCUGCUGCAUGGUGGGGGUUGGAAAGUUUCGGCGGUUUGGGAUGGACUCGCGGCUUAUCAGCUGGUUGGUGGGGUAGUGGCAUACCAAGGCUUUGACGGGUGGCCGGCCUGAGAGGGUGGCCGGCCACAUUGGGACUGAGAUACGGCCCAGACUCCUACGGGAGGCAGCAGUGGGGAAUAUUGCACAAUGGGCGGAAGCCUGAUGCAGCAACGCCGCGUGCGGGAUGACGGCCUUCGGGUUGUAAACCGCUUUCGCCUGUGACGAAGCGUGAGUGACGGUAAUGGGUAAAGAAGCACCGGCUAACUACGUG